CGCUGGGGUAGAACUCUGGCCCACUUGGGCCUAGUGAGCGAGGCUGCCGAGACCAGCUCUGAAACUAAGUGGUUCAGAGGGCCGGCGGUUUGGCGCACGUGUGGGCCACGCGGGCACUCCCUCGGGCCUUGCCAUGUGAGUGCAGUAACUUACUGGUAAGAUAGAAAUCACUUUGAGAUAACCAGAGAGCACUGACUUUCCGCGCACAUAAACAAAACAGUUUAAAAGGCAAGGCCCCUUUAGCCCGGGAGCCAGCCACGGCAGCAAGCUCAGCUCGCACACUGAGACGGCUGAGCCUCAGCUAAGAGGGGCCCUCGCUUGCUGUCAUGUCCUAGUGGGGUGUGUGGAGGAAAGACACGCCGGUGAGCGACGUGCACGUGCCCUAGAAAGCCUCGCAGACUGCGGACUCCCAGACCUAGCCCCCGCGGGCAGGGACCUGGCCUGGCCAAGGUCCAAGUACGUGGGGAGCUCCUUGCUCCUGGAGGUGGCCUGUCCCCGCUCUGCACCCCGACGACCGUUUGCUGAUGCUUGAUGUGCUUGAUGCCGGAUGUUCCCAGGCUCUGGAGCCAAGUUCACCGAACCCGGUGCCAAGGUGCCAAUGUUUAGUGAGAAACACCGCCUGUCCCGUGGCCCAGACCUGUGCGGGCAUGACCGGUGCAUUCUCUUUCUGCGGCUGAUGUCCAUGGAAGGCAAGUCAGGACCAAGUGUCAGGUUGGCCUGGAAUCAGAACAG
rnacentral:lncRNA from 1 species